rnacentral:rRNA from 1 species
UACGUAGGGUCCGAGCGUUGUCCGGAAUUACUGGGCGUAAAGAGCUCGUAGGUGGUUUGUCGCGUUGUUCGUGAAAACUCACAGCUUAACUGUGGGCGUGCGGGCGAUACGGGCAGACUUGAGUACUGCAGGGGAGACUGGAAUUCCUGGUGUAGCGGUGGAAUGCGCAGAUAUCAGGAGGAACACCGGUGGCGAAGGCGGGUCUCUGGGCCGGAACUGACGCUGAGGAGCGAAAGCGUGGGGAGCGAACAGG